rnacentral:rRNA from 1 species
UACGUAGGGGGGCAAGCGUUGUCCGGAAUCAUUGGGCGUAAAGAGCGUGUAGGCGGCCCGGUAAGUCCGCCGUGAAAGUCCAGGGCUCAACCCUGGAAUGCCGGUGGAAACUGCCGGGCUGGAGUCCGGAAGAGGCGAGUGGAAUUCCUGGUGUAGCGGUGAAAUGCGCAGAUAUCAGGAGGAACACCAAUGGCGAAGGCAGCUCGCUGGGACGGUACUGACGCUGAGACGCGAAAGCGUGGGGAGGCAAACAGG